rnacentral:rRNA from 1 species
UACGUAGGAGACAAGCGUUGUCCGGAAUUACUGGGUGUAAAGCGCGUGUAGGCGGUAGGCCAAGUCUGCUGUGAAAUCGCCCGGCUCAACUGGGCGCGGUUGGUGGAAACUGGUCAACUGGAGGACGGUAGAGGUGAGUGGAAUUCCUAGUGUAGAGGUGAAAUUCGUAGAUAUUAGGAAGAACACCAGUGGCGAAGGCGGCUCACUGGCCCGGUACUGACGCUGAGGCGCGAAAGCGUGGGGAGCAAACAGG